rnacentral:rRNA from 1 species
GUAAAGAAUAUUGGUCAAUGGACGAAAGUCUGAACCAGCCAUGCCGCGUGAAGGAUGAAGGCCCUCUGGGUUGUAAACUUCUUUUAUCUGGGACGAAAAAAGGGUAUUCUUACUCACUUGACGGUACCAGAGGAAUAAGCACCGGCUAACUCCGUGCCAGCAGCCGCGGUAAUACGGAGGGUGCAAGCGUUAUCCGGAUUCACUGGGUUUAACGGGUGCGUAGGUGGGUAUUUAAGUCAGUGGUGAAAUCUCCGAGCUUAACUCGGAAACUGCCAUUGAUACUAUUUACCUUGAAUGCCCUGGAGGUAAGCGGAAUAUGUCAUGUAGCGGUGAAAUGCUUAGAUAUGACAUAGAACACCAAUUGCGAAGGCAGCUUACUACGGGGUGAUUGACACUGAGGCACGAAAGCGUGGGGAGCAAACAGGAUUAGAAACCCCAGUAGUCC